AUGCAAUAUGGAGAUUGUUUACCCAGAGUGAGGAUGUUUUGUUGCCUGGGCCUAUAAGGGCCAAAAGAUGUUUGUGUGUCGGACUGUCAUGAGACAGUCACAGGAGAAUCAGAGAUGAGUGCAGCUCUCUGCAGUUGUGUUGGCAGAUUCAGUUUAGAUAUAAUGUAUAUAAUGUAGUAUAAUAAAGUAAUCAAUUAGCCUUCUGAUAAGAUGGAGUCAGAUGCAUCAUUCUCUCUCCCCUCGUCAGAGCCGCCUUUGAUUUGCAAUAGGGGAUGUCUCUCACCCUGUGUCACACAGCCAAAAGUUAAAUGCCUCUGCCUGAGAGAUGGGUGCUUGUCUUUCAUCCCACGUAUGGUGGCUUCAGACAGGAGGGAAACAAAGUCAGAGUGGAUACGGUGCUGGAACUUUGUGACCUUGUCAGCUGAAGGAGGUUCCAGGACCACUCAGGGAUGUGUGUCAGGCCCCAAAGGGGAAGACAGAAAAAGAACGGGGAUGCCUAAGCUUUAUUUCCAUUAAAUGUCAGGUAUAUCCUAAACUGCAGUCCUACUGAACACUGUUUAUUUGGACCCCCAGCUUGUGACUCUUAAUCUUUUAUGGGCAGGCUUCCACUUCUGUGCUUCCCAAAACCUUUAAUGCACCGACAUCAGCUCCCCAGCCUUGAAAUGGCUGAGCAGACCUUUGCCUAUCUCUGUGCCUAAGCCUGAUCAAGAUCUCCAAACAAUACAUUUGCUUAUCCUAGAGGAAUCUAAAAAUUCCUCUAAAAAUGUUGGGAAUGCUGACCAGUUGGGGUAAAAUAUGGUGGAAGCCUUUGCUUUCCUUUAAGUUCUUUUUUUUUAACUGGGGAUUUUCUGGUCCUGUGAGGGGUGUGGUGUUAGGACAUGUGGCCAGAGAGGAGGAGCCCUGGACCUGUUUCCUCUCCUCUCCUCUCCUCUCAAGGAUCCUGCCAGGAUGGGGCUGCAUUUUCCAACCUCCCUUUGGGUAGCUGUACCAUGGCACAGGAGAGAUUUAUUUAGUGGGCGAGAGGGAGGGAGACUAUAGCCAGUUGUGUGCUUGUGGCAUUUUGCUUAAAAGAUGCUGAGUUCCAGUCCCAGCUCUUUCUGCAUUUUAUCUAUGUAAAAUCCAUGCAAUGUAAAAAAAGAUCACUCCCUAGGACCAAAUACUCUUGCAUUAAUUAUGUGUUUCUUGCUUAUGCACCCUCUUUCUCCUCUUUUCCCAGCUCAAUUCACUCCUUGGCUUUUCAGAAGAGCUGUCACCUUCACUCACAGCUGUUAUGGCACACAGGAGAGCACUCCCACACCUGUAGGGGCACUGUGCCACCACUGGGCUGUGCCUCGGUGCUGAGGGAAGGACACACAGGUCUGAGUCCUCCUACAGUGAAAAAAGACAUGUCUGGAUGUGCUGAGUCUCCUUAAGUGCUGUAACACUGCAAAACCCCAUUGGCAAGAGGCUUUGGUAUGUGCACUAUUUUUGAUAACACCCUCUCUGAUAUCCUGGACACAUCCUAAGGAAGGAACAGGAGUUGAUUGCUGCCAGGCCCUGGUGUUUGCUGAGCCUGGCAGAGGAGGAGGAGGAGAGCUGACCACGGUGUGUGGCUGAGUGGGAUGGCCUGGGCAUGAGCAGGUUUCUGUGAUUCCUCAGAUGUGGCACUUGAGUGGCCUUUAAUGCGUUCUGUCUGCAUGAAGCCAGCCCUGGAAUAUGUCUAAAAGGCUCCCCUGCUAGAGUGCAACAGGUUUUGACAACCACCAGUGCUCAGAGGAAGAACAAAUGUGUGAUUUAGACCAUUGUUGAGGACUUUUUCCCUGCAAAGAGAGUUGUCACAUUGCAAAAUUGUAAAGCAUAUAAUGGGAUGCUGACUGCACAAUGUGUUACAGGCAUGCUCUGCCAUUAUUUAACAAUAUAACUAUGGUUAUUUACCAAUCUUAGAUUGCCAAACCACAGAGGAGCAAAACUACGUGAAGAACUUAGCAUGUCUAAAGCAAAAAUUUGCUCUAUCUCAGGCCAUGUUAUUAUAUUUUAAAAUUUUAUUAAGAAAUAAAUUUAUUGAGCAUUGUUUGCCUUAGAGGUGAGUGGCUCUGAAACUCUAUUUCUUGUAUCCACACAACCAUGCUUCAGUAAAUUUUGAUGUUUUAACAAGAGUUUGGGGUCAGUUUCCUUAGGCAAGCUGAAGAAAUUAUUUCUGAUGAUUUAGUUAGUAGUGGUGGUGUGGUUUUCUGUAAUCAUUCACCAGGCAGCUGGAAUGAGGUGGGGAAAUUAAUCUCUGGUGCACCUUUAGAGUAGAUGGAUAAAUAAACCCAAAAGGAAUUAAAAGAAAAGCAUAACUUUAGACUAAUCAUAGAACUACUUUUGUUUUCUGCAUACAACUGAAGUUUACAUGAGGAAGACUGAGAGUGAGAAGCACUGGGAAAGGUAAAAAAAAAAAAAACCAAGUCCAAUGGAUAGUUAAUCUGGAAUUAACAACAUGGCACUGUGCAAGCACAGAACAGAGGGAGCUGCUUCAUCCCAUAGCCUUUGCAGUAAGAAAAAAAAUUAAAAAGCAAUUUUAAAAUGCAGCUUUUGUGGGGUUUUUUUCAUUUUCUUAUUUUGCUCCCUUCCUCUGAAUGUCCCCUAUUUGUAAUGCUUGCUCCUGCCUUUCUGACAAGCCCCAAAUUCCUCAGCUCCAGGAGCUGUGGGCACAUGAGAGCUGGCAGAUCAGGCCUUGGCUUCCCUUCCCUUGGAACAUGCUCCCUUCUCAGAUGGGGAGCUGCUCCAGAACAGAAAUAACUAAUGACAGUGGGGCUGCUUGAAAGCCACAUGGAGGGAGGAAAGAGAUGUUAUUCACUUCAGCAGUGCAAAUAAAGUGAGAGCUUUCUUUCUACAGGCGUGUGUGGGAAGGGCAUCAACAGAGCAAUUACAUGGUGGGUGGGAAAGGGGAUUUUGUCACUUUGGCAGUGCUGGCAGACAGAAAUAAACUGCUUCUAGGGGAAUAGCAGGGUAAGAACUUGCACAUCAAGAGCAUAAGCAGAAUUAAAAUGGGCCCUUAAGGGGAUUUAUUGAGGGCUGGUUUCUUUUUUUUUUUUUUUUAAGUGCCUAAGGCCCCUCCUAUUUCAUUGUGUGCAAGCCAAGAAUCAGGAGCAGGGUGAAAAAGUGAGCAAGUUGUAUCAAAACUAGUAAGAAACUCUUCUGACUGCAAGAAUUUGACUGCAACCCUUAUGCAGCUGUUACAGAAGGUGCUGGAAUGGCACAUUCAGAGUGCAGGGCUGGUGACAGGAGUAGUGGUCAACAAAGCAGAGUGUAAGAAACCCUCUUCCUUUUUCAAAUCAAAAAUGGAGUCCCUAGAAUAGAAUAGAAUAGAAUAGAAUAGAAUAGAAUAGAAUAGAAUAGAAUAGAAUAGAAUAGAAUAGAAUAGAAUAGAAUAGAAUAGAAUGUGCUGAGUUGGGAGGACACUCCAAGAACUGCACUAUGUGCUGGAGCUGCUUGUGGUUUUUUCCCUGGUUUCCCUGGAAUUCCAUAUUAUUCAUAUGAAGGCACAAGGCAAAGCCUGCUCCAGGUUGACUGGAAGAGGGAAAGGAAGCAAUGCUGUUCUGCACCCACCACUGCAAGGUGUUGCUGGGCUUUUCUGGGAAAUAAUAAAAAAAAAAUCUAACACAGAUUACAAUAACAUUGAACCAUUGAUAACACAUUCAGGUGAUGGAGAUGGUUUUGCUCCUGUCUCAUGUUUUUUUCUUGCUAAAAGAAAACCUGUAGUGAUGUCCACCAGUGCAGAUGAACAGCCAGUUGUAACAUGAUAGUGAUGAGUAGGAACUAGCAGAUUGCUGCAAAAGCAAGAUAAGAAAUAUGGUGUGUGGAACAAAGAGGGGUGCCCCCUCACAUGUAAAACCCCCACUGCAAUUUCAUGGAGCCCAGAUGCCAACAACCAGUUGUGAGUCACUCGUUGCUUAGUGGAGCAGCCCAUCAGACCCAUUUGGUGCAGCAGUGCCCCUAGCAGCAGGCUGGGCUGCCAUGCAGAGCUCUGCAGCUGAGACAGAACAAACCUGCCUUCAGCUAGACAGCCUGGAGAUGUUUUAGGUGGCAGGUGAUUGGUGAUGUCACAUAAAAUUGACAGCUCUUCAGACAAAAGGAAGGAGCUUGACUUAAUGAGUGCUAUGGGUGGGUGUAUAAGCAAAGACUUUUCUAAGAAUUAUCAUUACCUAGGAAAGGCAAUUUUCAGCUGAAUUGACAUUGCAGUAAUUAAGGGCCAACGUAGAGAAUCUUGGUCAUUAUAACUAUUUAAAUUUCCAAAUUGCUUAGUUUAGAAUUGCUUAUGCUUGAAGUGCUACUGACAGCCCCAUCACUUUCUAUUCUCAGCCAGCUUGAUUGGCAAAUUGAUGAGGUCUGUACCUCACAGCCACUGUUCCACCUUGGUGCCAAAAGUCACUACCUGGAGCAGAGCAGCAAGUAGCAACUGUGGUCACAUCAAACCACAGGGAAUCCAAGUUUUAAGUUCACUCCUUGAAAGUGGAAAUGCACAUUAAAGGGGUCACUGGGAAGCAGAUUCUUGAAAACCGUGGUGAAGGAUGUCUUCAUAUUUCAGUUAUUUAAAUUUACCUUGCCUGUGAAUUAUCAGCCUAGUUGGAAUCCACUGCUGGACUGCUACAGAACCUAUUUUUUUUUUUUUUCUGACUUUUUUCCUCUGUCUUGUCAGCCUCAGAUGGACAAUGCCUUUGAAAUGGCAAAUGUUAUUCUGUGGUCACAGGAACUUUUUUCAGAGAUGGAUAAAAGAAACAUCUGGACCGACUGAGGGGGUUUGCAUUAUGUCUUGCAGCAACCCUCCUAAUUCUAAAAGUGAAUCAUUAUAUGUUGUACCUGCCAGUUGCUUUAAUCCUCUUGUCAUAGCAAAGUCAGAGAGACCGGGAGACACAAACCAUAUUUUUAUUUUAACAAUUUAGAAGACUUUGUGAAUUAUUCUGCAGGAAUGGAGGCACUGGUCUCCUUUAGCUUUGGCAUGUUGGCCUCCUUUUUUCCCCCUGUAAAAAUAUAUUAUUGUGCACUUAUUGUGCACUUUGUUCUACCAACUUAAAGAGAGAGAAAUGGUUUUUUUAGUCCCUCUUCCUCUGUACUGUCACUUUUGAUUCACAGUUGCUAAGCGUUGCAAAAGCUCACCAGAGGGACACUCUCAUAGUGUGAUUUGCAAACUUUGAAAUAACACCCACCAGCAGAAGCACCAUAUGCUACAAAGUUGCACAGUAAACUGACAGCAGUAUUUCAUUUAUAAUUUGAAUUUCCAAAAAUGUCAGCAUUUUUCACAUCAACAAAUGCCUCUCAGCUUGCAGUGCAUGACUCUUUCCUCUGAGUGGACAUUAAAUUGUGCUAAUUCUGCUUGAAUUUCUGUAGGCUUUAUUAAUGACAGACACAUUAAAAUCAAUUCGCUUUUAUUAUGUUGACUUGUUGUAUUGAGACAAAAUAAAUCUGCAAAUUUUCUGAA